rnacentral:rRNA from 1 species
CCUACGGGAGGCAGCAGUGGGGAAUUGUUCGCAAUGGGCGCAAGCCUGACGACGCAACGCCGCGUGGAGGAUGAAGGUCUUCGGAUUGUAAACUCCUGUCGAACGGGACGAACACCUUUUCAGUUAACACCUGGAGAGGCUGACGGUACCGUGAGAGGAAGCCCCGGCUAACUCUGUGCCAGCAGCCGCGGUAAUACAGAGGGGGCAAGCGUUGUUCGGAAUUACUGGGCGUAAAGGGCGCGUAGGCGGCCCUCUAAGUCAGACGUGAAAUCCCUCGGCUCAACCGGGGAACUGCGUCUGAGACUGGGGGGCUUGAAUUCGGGAGAGGGAUGUGGAAUUCCAGGUGUAGCGGUGAAAUGCGUAGAUAUCUGGAGGAACACCGGUGGCGAAGGCGGCAUCCUGGACCGAUAUUGACGCUGAUGCGCGAAAGCCAGGGGAGC